AGCCGUGUUGAGACUUGAGAGCAAGUAACAAGUAGUUGUCACUAGAGAAGACAAAGAAGUGAAUAAGUCAUAUAGUUUUCUUAGAUAGCCUAAUCUAAAAGCAAAGUCACUUCAAUACUGACAAAUAUUAAAAGAAGAAAUAAGAAAAUGAUAGAAAAAAUGGUGCUCCUGACACUCCAAGUGACGUUUGCACCUUGACUAAAAUGCAUAACUCCUCCCCAUCAUUGACUUGAGGCCAUGGGGCUUUGCCAAGUAUUUAUGUUUUGGGUGGAAAUAUUAGCAAGGAUCAUUGUCAAGUGAAUUAAUUUGCUUGAUUAUUGUUAAUUGCAAGAGGUAUGUAUGUUCUCUUAUUUUUUUUAUAAAUAUUAUUAUAAAAAUGUUAGAGGAGUUUGAAUAUCUUAAAUAUUCAUCCAUAGUGAAGUAGGUUCUGAGAUUAAAAUUGUGUGUUGCGGUGAUAAUGGAAGGUUGAGAAUUUGUGUGUUUUAGUGAAGUAGUUUCUGGGAAAUUUAUUUGUGUGCUGCGGAGAUAUAAGGAAGAAAUUUAUUGUGUGUUGUUUGAAUUGCUUGGUUCUCUAUUGACAGAUGGUUAGGUCACUAUUACAAGGGAAAUGUUGCCCAAAUUCAUUUAGAAUUAUGUUUUAUUUUCUUAUAUUUAAAUUAUGUUGUGCUUGCAUUGUUCUUUUUUUAUUGGCAUAGGGAAGCUCUGUCAAAAUUUAAGUUAAAAAGAUAGUGUAUUAAUAGGAAUAUGACAGCGCUAAAAUAUUGUAUUCAAGUCUUGGUGAAAUUGCUUUUGUAAUAAUAAAGUAAUUACGUUUUCACGUAUUGUGGUGUUUAACAUUCUAACUAUUAAACAAUCAUACACUAUAAUGAUUAGUUUUAUUGUAUAAAAAAUAAAUAGAUAGCAAUUCCAAAUAGCAAAGAACAAAAAGAUAUCCUCUCCAAUUCGAAAGUUAAGAGUCCUUUAGCUAGCACAAUUCAAUAAGUUGCUUAUUCUCAAUUACUCAGUUGUAGCAAACUGAAAAAAAAAAAUAUACACAUAGAUGAUAAGUGGCUAAUAUUUUGUCAUAUUGAUUAAUGAUAAGUUACUCAUUAGCAUGAUACUUAUAAUACAUAAUAUAAUCCAUUUGAACUACUAAUUAAUACUUAAAAAACUAUUGAGAGAUUGGUCAAAAUUGUAAAAUGGCCAUUGUUUGAUCAUGAUUAUCUCUUUCUUUCAAUAGCAAUUUUUUUUGUCUCUUUUGUGGUUCUUAAGGACACGGGUCACUUAUAUAUUCUACCCAUUUGAAUACAUAUUUAUCUAAUUAACUCAGCCCCGCCACACCACGCCACACAUGUCACACACACCUUGAGUCAUCUUUACUUGACACACCUUUCUACUUUUGCUAAAUUUAAAUCAUGAAAAAAGCCAGACUUUAUUGCCUAACUAUCCUAUCGGAGUCUAUUAGUUCUAUAUAAGCUUCAAUCUAUAUCUUCUAAGUCAUCUCAAACAAUUAUUGAACAUCUACAUUUUACUUGCUGCGUGUUUCUACUAUGGCACUUCCUCAAGCCAACUUCGGUUCCUUUUCUAGUUUUUAUUCUAGUUCGAAUUAAGAUGUUUGCAUGCCAUGUCUUCAAGGCCAAAGUCUAUUGACGUUGAUUGGACUACAAAAGUGAUCUCUCAUAUUCGUGCUCACCAACCUCUCUUUCUCUAUAUGUAUCUUAAUAUAUUUGGAUAUAUAUAUAUAUAUACACAUUGAUCUCUCAUAUGUGUGCACUUCAAUUUCUAUUUCUCUCUCCCUAUAUAUGUUAUUACUCUCCUGUCAUGAUUACAAAUACAGCACAAUCAUGAUUUUUUUUUUAAAAUCAAAGUCUGGUGUCUAUUUUAAAAAUAAAAACAACAGAGUCUGGUUCUGGGCAUAAGAAUAACUACUUUAAGACAAAAAACAUAUUACAAAAACUUCUUAAGCAUAUUAUAUAUGGAAUUUUAUUUUCAUUUUCCUGACCUUUUUUUCUUUUGACUUCUUCGACUAGUACAUUUUAUAAUAACUCACUCAAUGUUAUAAAGAAAGCCAAAUAGAAACAUUCAAAGAGGCAAAACAGAGCAAGAUUUUCAAAGUUCUUAUUUGAAAUAUACCUCGAGCAUUAACAAAUCUAAUGCAAUGCUUCCAUUUCAAAUCCCUACAAACAUAAAGCUAGAUAUCGUGAGUAAAAAGAAACCAAUGAAACUGAAAAAAUAGAAGGGAAAAAAGUAUAAACCCCAUGCCAAAAAGCUAUUCUUUCUCACUACAGGAGUUAUCGUCAGGUCAAAACUCAAAAGGGCAUAUGCACAAUAAGAUGAAACAUAAAAAGUUAAAUCAAGAAUAAAUCUGAUCAAAUAAAAAAAAUCAUAUUCUAUAAUAAAACAAACCAAUGAUCACAAUGGUUAGAUAAAAAAAAACUUCAAUAAUGAAACUAGUCGAACUUGAGAUGAGAGAAGGAGAUGCGAGAAAGUAUAUAGGUCAAAACCAUUGGUUAUCAAAUGUUGGAUCCACUUGAGAAGAACGAGUUGAAUGGGUAUCAAAGCGUAUGCUUGAUUUAAAUCCGGGUGAGAUGUGGUUGUUGCCAUAUCAUAAGGGAAAACAUUGGAUGCUUAUAAUAAUUGAUUUUGAUCACCAAUUGUGCUAUUUCCCGGAUUCUCUUCACAAUUUUCCACCAGAUGAAAUCAAAUCUCUCAUUUCUCGUGUCUUUCAACAUUUACGCACAAAUAAUGCAAAAACUAAGGAAGUCGCGUGGAGAAUAGUUAAGUGUCCUCGUCAACCAUUACAAUCAAUAUAAUGUGGGUUCUAUGUUAUGAGGAUGAUGAAGGACUUCGUGACAAAUGAGUUUUCAAUGCGAUGGCUAACUAGUAAUUGUAGCGGGAAGAACUAUUACACAAAGGAUGAAAUCAAUGAAGUAUGUGAAGAAUGGGCACAAUGCGUCAUGGAUUUGAUGAGUACUACAUAGGUCCAUUCACUUUUGUUAACUUAGACUUUUAAUGAGAUAUACUUACAAUGUUAACUUAGACUUUCUUGAAGAUAUACACACUUUUGUUGCCUAACUAUAGUUUACAAUGCUUAUGUGAGUCAUUUUGUAAUUAACUUAAGACUCGUUAUUUUAGAUACUUAGUUCAAAUUUUAGUAUUUUAUAUUAUUGUGAUAUAUGUUUUGUUUUGUUCAGUUUGUUUGUAUAAAAAAACAUGAUUUG